UACGGGGGGGGGCAAGCGUUGUUCGGAAUUACUGGGCGUAAAGGGCGCGUAGGCGGCCUGCUAAGUCGGACGUGAAAUCCCUCGGCUCAACCGGGGAACUGCGUCCGAUACUGGCGAGGCUUGAAUCCGGGAGAGGGAUGUGGAAUUCCAGGUGUAGCGGUGAAAUGCGUAGAUAUCUGGAGGAACACCGGUGGCGAAGGCGGCAUCCUGGACCAACACUGACACUGAGGAGCGAAAGCCAGGGGAGCAAACGGG
rnacentral:rRNA from 1 species